GAAAGAGACACAGGCAAGAAUCUGCCCACCACCCCAACGAAGUUCGUAGCUUACCAAAUUCCAGAUUCAGGGGGCAUAGAGUUUGCUUAUUACUCACCUCCACCUGGAUAUUGAGACCAGUGUGUCUCCGUGGAACUGAGUGCCGCUGACUGGUCUCAGUGGGUACUACACCCUGAGCUGGUGGGUUUUGCCAGCAGUGGACAAGAGCACAGAAGACAUUACUUCAUCUUGUUACACACACUCCCCUCUCUGCAGUCAGUGACUGGUAAAUACUUUGAAGAUGUAGCAAAAUUUACCAGAUGAAAGACGGAAAAGAUCUUCUAAGGAAAGAAGCCCUCGAGAAUGAGACUGAAUUUUUCCUCACCACUCUGAAAUUAGAUAUGACCAUGUGACUAUUCUGGCUGACAAAAUGGGAAUAUAGAUGGUCUGUGACAUUUUAAAACCAAAUCAUGACACUUCUGGUGUUUGGCUCUCAAGCUGCCUCUUGCCCUGCCAUGGUGGCUGAAGAGAUUUUGGUAUCUAAAUGAUGCAGUUACAUGAUCAUGGAGACUUAGUCAUCAUAUCUUCUCUCUGUGGCCACAAGAGACAACACAGGUUCCUUUAGGGUCAAGUAUAGAAGAUUUCAGGUCUUUAAUGCAGAGCUUGAGUUUCUGUGGGUCAGGGAUACAGCUAUGGCCUAGCUGGGUUCUCGGCUUCCGGGUCUAUCAUGAGGCUGAAAUCGAGGCAUCAUCAGUGGUUGAAGUCACAGAUGAAAGCUCAGCAGGGUCCUGAGAACACUCUAUCAGUCCUACUUUAGCCACCAAUCUGCAUGGUGGACAGAGGAUGAUCUGAUUUCCAUAGAGACAAAAACACAGCAGACAAAGAAUACAGCUCCAAACACAGCUAGAAAUACAGGGCAAGAGAUUCAGCUCAGGUCCACCCAUCAGAGCGCGCCGUAUCAAACACCCAGGUCUGCAGUCCACCAGCUUCCAAUAAUGCCAUCUGACUGGAGUGAUGAUUUCAUCAGGCACUUUGAUAAGCCGAUGUAUCUUUUCUCACAGUUUACAGGCAAUUUUUGUCCACUUCCAGCAAUUCUGAAAACUGUAGAUAUUUGCCUAUCUGCCCAGUGGGCACAAGUAACUGGUAACAGUCUCACAAAAUUCCUGUGUACUUAGUAGCAGGUGGUUGAUAUCACAGGAAGAUCUUCUCUUUAUCAGGCACUUACCAGGCCUAAAGUCUGUUCUUCCAGGAAAUUACACACCCUCUCAUUUUACAGUGAAUAACAUUAACAUACAUACAUUUAGGAGCCAUCGUACAUAAAAUAGAAGCCAAAAUACAUGUGGCUUAAUCUGAAUCCUUUCAUAGUGUUUUAUGUAUUUUAAAUCACAGUAAAUUUCUU